GCUAGCGACAGGCUUAACACAUGCAAGUCGAGGGGCAGCACAGGUAGCAAUACCGGGUGGCGACCGGCGCACGGGUGAGUAACGCGUAUGCAACUUGCCUAUCAGAGGGGGAUAACCCGGCGAAAGUCGGACUAAUACCGCAUGAAGCAGGGGCCCCGCAUGGGGAUAUUUGCUAAAGAUUCAUCGCUGAUAGAUAGGCAUGCGUUCCAUUAGGCAGUUGGCGGGGUAACGGCCCACCAAACCGACGAUGGAUAGGGGUUCUGAGAGGAAGGUCCCCCACAUUGGUACUGAGACACGGACCAAACUCCUACGGGAGGCAGCAGUGAGGAAUAUUGGUCAAUGGGCGUAAGCCUGAACCAGCCAAGUCGCGUGAGGGAUGAAGGUUCUAUGGAUCGUAAACCUCUUUUAUAAGGGAAUAAAGUGCGGGACGUGUCCCGUUUUGUAUGUACCUUAUGAAUAAGGAUCGGCUAACUCCGUGCCAGCAGCCGCGGUAAUACGGAGGAUCCGAGCGUUAUCCGGAUUUAUUGGGUUUAAAGGGUGCGUAGGCGGCCUUUUAAGUCAGCGGUGAAAGUCUGUGGCUCAACCAUAGAAUUGCCGUUGAAACUGGGGGGCUUGAGUAUGUUUGAGGCAGGCGGAAUGCGUGGUGUAGCGGUGAAAUGCAUAGAUAUCACGCAGAACCCCGAUUUGCGAAGGCAGCCUGCCAAGCCCAUUACUGACGCCGAUGCACGAAAGCGUGGGGAUCAAACAGGAUUAGAUACCCUGGUAGUCCACGCAGUAAACGAUGAUCACUAGCUGUUUGCGAUACACUGUAAGCGGCACAGCGAAAGCGUUAAGUGAUCCACCUGGGGAGUACGCCGGCAACGGUGAAACUCAAAGGAAUUGACGGGGGCCCGCACAAGCGGAGGAACAUGUGGUUUAAUUCGAUGAUACGCGAGGAACCUUACCCGGGUUUGAACGCAUUCGGACCGAGGUGGAAACACCUUUUCUAGCAAUAGCCGUUUGCGAGGUGCUGCAUGGUUGUCGUCAGCUCGUGCCGUGAGGUGUCGGCUUAAGUGCCAUAACGAGCGCAACCCUUGCCACUAGUUACUAACAGGUAAAGCUGAGGACUCUGGUGGGACGGCCAGCGUAAGCUGCGAGGAAGGCGGGGAUGACGUCAAAUCAGCACGGCCCUUACAUCCGGGGCGACACACGUGUUACAAUGGCGUGGACAAAGGGAGGCCACCUGGCGACAGGGAGCGAAUCCCCAAACCACGUCUCAGUUCGGAUCGGAGUCUGCAACCCGACUCCGUGAAGCUGGAUUCGCUAGUAAUCGCGCAUCAGCCAUGGCGCGGUGAAUACGUUCCCGGGCCUUGUACACACCGCCCGUCAAGCCAUGGGAGCCGGGGGUACCUGAAGUCCGUAACCGCGAGGAUCGGCCUAGGGUAAAACUGGUGACUGGGGC
rnacentral:rRNA from 1 species